CAUAGUAUUUGGAGCCAGCUACGGCUAAGGCUUCAGCAGCCUCCCUGAUCAGGGCUCAGCCACUGCAAAUUUAGGGAAAGAUGUUGGGGGUCCUGGCCUUGUUGGCUUCGCUUGUCUUUCUCCUGAUCUUGGCAGCACCCUAUAUCAGGAAAGCGGUUUCCAAAGGAAUAUGUACAUCAACUGUGCAGCUUCCUGGAAAGGUAGCAAUAGUCACUGGAGCCAACACGGGCAUUGGGAAGGAGACAGCCAAAGACCUUGCUCAGAGAGGAGCUCGAGUUUAUAUUGCUUGUAGGGAUUUGCAAAAGGGGGAGUUGGCCGCCAGUGAAAUCCGGGCUAAGACAGGGAACCAGCAGGUGUUGGUGCGGAAGCUGGACCUGGCUGACACCAAAUCAAUCCGAGCCUUUGCUGAAGCCUUCCUGGCAGAGGAAAAACAGCUUCACAUCUUGAUCAACAAUGCAGGAGUGAUGAUGUGCCCCUACUCCAAAACAGCUGAUGGAUUUGAGAUGCACAUGGGAGUCAAUCACUUAGGUCAUUUUCUUCUGACCCACCUGUUGCUAGAGAGGCUGAAGGAAUCAGCCCCAUCAAGGGUGGUGAAUGUGUCUUCCUUGGCAUUCCACUUGGGCAGGAUCCAUUUUUAUAACCUACAUGGUGAGAAGUACUAUAACCCAGGCCUUGCCUACUGCCACAGCAAGCUGGCCAACGUGCUUUUUACCCAGGAGUUAGCUCGGAGACUAAAAGGUACUGGGGUUACUACGUAUUCUGUACACCCAGGAACUGUCAACUCUGAAUUGUGUCGGCAUUCAACUUUCAUGAAACUGAUGUGGAAACUCUUUGCUGUCUUCAUUAAGACACCGCAGGAGGGAGCUCAGACCAGCCUGUACUGUGCCUUGACGGAGGGCCUUGAGCCUCUGAGUGGGAAACAUUUCAGUGAAUGCAGUCCUGCAUGGAUUUCCUCCAGGGGACACAACAUGACAACAGCAAGGCGGUUAUGGGAUGUCAGCUGUGAUCUGCUGGGAAUCCAGCAGGACUGAUAGAUGGGAGUAGCCUAUCACUACUCAGUUUUAAUGUGCCAAAAGGAUUUCUACAAGGGCAUUAUCCUGAACUACCUGUAAAAAUUGGCCAGGAUUCUGACUACUGGAUCGCUGUGGCCUGUUCUCCAGACCUUUGAAACUCCUAAAGUGGAGAAUGCCACUCUCUUCACUUAAAAAUGGAAAGAAUAAGUGAAAAAGCCAAGCAUGAAGCUCCAUUUUUCAUGGCCACAUGAAGGAAACCUUAGAGGUCCUAAGGCUUCUCUCCUUAUGGAAUAGUCUCUCACCGUGAGUGGAGGAGUCAACAAAUGAAGCCAAAUGAGAGAACGAAGCAAAAGAGCACAAGACUCAUCUUUUCAGCACAUGUUCUCUCAGCAAUGCUCUAUGAUUGUAAAUCUUGGAACACGUAGGAAUCAAAGUUGUGGAUGACGCAAAGGAUUCAAGCAGGCUGUAGUAUAUUUUCAAUGACAGUAUAUAUUCAAGAAGUGAUAUAAGGGACAUAAUUGUAAAAAAACAAUGUCUGAUGGGACAAGGAAAUGGGUCGAUCCUGUGGGAAGAGUGUGGGAUAACAGAUAAAUAGCCAGAGGGUAUUGUGAAAAAGACCUAGAAGAAAACCUCUAGAAAGUUUGUUGGACUUUUUGUGCAAGAUCAAUUGAAGAAUAUGGAAAAGAAUAACAGAGGAUGAAAAGGCAUGGAGGGGUUCCAUUCUGUAUUGGAGAGGGGAGAGUACCUAGCUUGAGUGGUGCAUUACAGAUCCCUUGAAGUAUACAUUAAGUAUUAUCACAUGGUUAAGAAUUGGAAAUCAAAGGGAUGCCUAUCAAUUGGGGAAUGGUUAAACAAGCUGUGGUAUAUGAUUGUAA